GACGAACGCUGGCGGCGUGCCUAAUACAUGCAAGUCGAGCGGAAAGACCAUGCGUUUGCUCGGUGCACGAUAGCCGCACGGGGGUGUAACACAUGAGUAACCUGCCCCUGUCAUUGGGAUAUAUUCACGAGACUGCGGCGAUUACACCGUAGGAGCUCUUGAUGCAUGGGGUGGGUUGGUAAGAUACGGCGGUUGGGGAUGGACUCGCGGCUUAUCAGCUUGUUGGUGGGGUAGUGGCUUACCAAGGCUUUGACGGGUAGCCGGCCUGGGAGGGUGACCGGCCACAUUGGGACUGAGAUACGGCCCAGACUCCUACGGGAGGCAGCAGUGGGAAAUAUUGCACAAUGGGCGGAAGCCUGAUGCAGCAACGCCGCGUGCGGGAUGACGGCCUUCGGGUUGUAAACCGCUUUCGCCUGUGACGAAGCGUGAGUGACGGUAAUGGGUAAAGAAGCACCGGCUAACUACGUG
rnacentral:rRNA from 1 species